GGCAGAGUAAGGAAUGGUGGGGAUUAGCCUUCGGUGCUCGAAUCGGUUAUAAAUCCGCGAGAUA
rnacentral:snoRNA from 1 species